UACGAAGGGGGCUAGCGUUGCUCGGAAUCACUGGGCGUAAAGGGUGCGUAGGCGGGUCCUUAAGUCAGGGGUGAAAUCCUGGAGCUCAACUCCAGAACUGCCUUUGAUACUGAAGAUCUUGAGUCCGGGAGAGGUGAGUGGAACUGCGAGUGUAGAGGUGAAAUUCGUAGAUAUUCGCAAGAACACCAGUGGCGAAGGCGGCUCACUGGCCCGGUACUGACGCUGAGGCACGAAAGCGUGGGGAGCAAACAGG
rnacentral:rRNA from 1 species